AUUCCGGCUCAGGAUGAACGCUAGCUACAGGCUUAACACAUGCAAGUCGAGGGGCAGCAUUGGAGUAGCAAUACUUCAGAUGGCGACCGGCGCACGGGUGAGUAACACGUAUCCAACCUGCCGCUUACUCGGGGAUAGCCUUUACGAAAGAAAGAUUAAUACCCGAUGGUAUAAAGAGUUCGCAUGUUCUCUUUAUUAAAGAAUUUCGGUAAGCGAUGGGGAUGCGUUCCAUUAGAUAGUUGGCGGGGUAACGGCCCACCAAGUCUACGAUGGAUAGGGGUUCUGAGAGGAAGGUCCCCCACAUUGGAACUGAGACACGGUCCAAACUCCUACGGGAGGCAGCAGUGAGGAAUAUUGGUCAAUGGGCGGGAGCCUGAACCAGCCAAGUCGCGUAGAAGGAAGAAGGAUCUAUGGUUCGUAAACUUCUUUUGCAGGGGAAUAAAGUGCAGGACGUGUCCUGUUUUGUAUGUACCCUGAGAAUAAGGAUCGGCUAACUCCGUGCCAGCAGCCGC
rnacentral:rRNA from 1 species